rnacentral:rRNA from 1 species
CCUACGGGCGGCAGCAGUGAGGAAUAUUGGUCAAUGGGCGCAAGCCUGAACCAGCCAAGUCGCGUGAGGGAUUAAGGCCCUAUGGGUCGUAAACCUCUUUUGUCAGGGAGCAAGGUCGUCCACGUGUGGGCGUAUGGAGAGUACCUGAAGAAAAAGCAUCGGCUAACUCCGUGCCAGCAGCCGCGGUAAUACGGAGGAUGCGAGCGUUAUCCGGAUUUAUGGGGUUUAAGGGGUGCGUAGGCGGGACCUUAAGUCAGCGGUAAAAUUGCGGUGGUCAACGCCGUAGAGCCGUUGAAACUGGGGCUCUUGAGUGAGCGAGAAGUAUGCGGAAUGCGUGGUGUAGCGGUGAAAUGCAUAGAUAUCACGCAGAACCCCGAUUGCGAAGGCAGCAUACCGGCGCUCAACUGACGCUGAGGCACGAAAGUGCGGGGAUCGAACAGGAUUAGAUACCCUGGUAGUC